rnacentral:rRNA from 1 species
UACGGAGGGUGCAAGCGUUGCUCGGAAUUAUUGGGCGUAAAGGGUAGGUAGGUGGUCUCAUUUGUCUGGGGUGAAAGCCUUGAGCUUAACUCAAGAAGUGCCCCAGAAACGGUGAGACUAGAGUCUUGGAGAGGGUCGUGGAAUUCCCGGUGUAGCGGUGAAGUGCGCAGAUAUCGGGAGGAACACCCGUGGCGAAGGCGGCUCUCUGGGACGGUACUGACGCUGAGACGCGAAAGCGUGGGGAGCGAACAGG